rnacentral:rRNA from 1 species
UACAGAGGGUGCAAGCGUUAAUCGGAAUUACUGGGCGUAAAGCGUGCGUAGGCGGUUAGAUAAGUCGGGUGUGAAAGCCCCGGGCUCAACCUGGGAAUUGCAUUCGAGACUGCGUAGCUAGGGUGCGGAAGAGGGAAGCGGAAUUUCCGGUGUAGCGGUGAAAUGCGUAGAUAUCGGAAGGAACACCAGUGGCGAAAGCGGCUUCCUGGUCCAGCACCGACGUUCAGGCACGAAAGCGUGGGGAGCAAACAGG